GUAGUUGGAUUCAUACUAAUCCACAUGUGUUGAGGUGGAUUGGAGUGAAACUUGAACUAAAUUCCACCCCAACACACACCAACACAUAUGGAUUGAAGUGAAUAUGACA
rfam:Sorghum bicolor cultivar BTx623 chromosome 4, whole genome shotgun sequence.